rnacentral:rRNA from 2 species
UCGACGAUGAUCCGCGUGCUUGCUCCGGGGAUUAGUGGCGAACGGGUGAGUAACACGUGAGUAACCUGCCCUUAACUCUGGGAUAAGCCUGGGAAACUGGGUCUAAUACCGGAUAUGACUGACCGUCGCAUGGUGGUUGGUGGAAAGCUUUAUUGUGGUUUUGGAUGGACUCGCGGCCUAUCAGCUUGUUGGUGAGGUAAUGGCUCACCAAGGCGACGACGGGUAGCCGGCCUGAGAGGGUGACCGGCCACACUGGGACUGAGACACGGCCCAAACUCCUACGGGAGGCAGCAGUGGGGAAUAUUGCACAAUGGGCGCAAGCCUGAUGCAGCGACGCCGCGUGAGGGAUGACGGCCUUCGGGUUGUAAACCUCUUUCAGUAGGGAAGAAGCGAAAGUGACGGUACCUGCAGAAGAAGCGCCGGCUAACUACGUGCCAGCAGCCGCGGUAAUACGUAGGGCGCAAGCGUUAUCCGGAAUUAUUGGGCGUAAAGAGCUCGUAGGCGGUUUGUCGCGUCUGCCGUGAAAGUCCGGGGCUCAACUCCGGAUCUGCGGUGGGUACGGGCAGACUAGAGUGAUGUAGGGGAGACUGGAAUUCCUGGUGUAGCGGUGAAAUGCGCAGAUAUCAGGAGGAACACCGAUGGCGAAGGCAGGUCUCUGGGCAUUAACUGACGCUGAGGAGCGAAAGCAUGGGGAGCGAACAGGAUUAGAUACCCUGGUAGUCCAUGCCGUAAACGUUGGGCACUAGGUGUGGGGGACAUUCCACGUUUUCCGCGCCGUAGCUAACGCAUUAAGUGCCCCGCCUGGGGAGUACGGCCGCAAGGCUAAAACUCAAAGGAAUUGACGGGGGCCCGCACAAGCGGCGGAGCAUGCGGAUUAAUUCGAUGCAACGCGAAGAACCUUACCAAGGCUUGACAUGACC